rnacentral:rRNA from 1 species
GACGAACGCUGGCGGCGUGCCUAAUACAUGCAAGUCGAACGCUGAAGGAGGAGCUUGCUUCUCUGGAUGAGUUGCGAACGGGUGAGUAACGCGUAGGUAACCUGCCUGGUAGCGGGGGAUAACUCUUGGAAACGAUAGCUAAUACCGCAUAAGAGUAGAUGUUGCAUGACAUUUGCUUAAAAGAUGCAAUUGUAUCACUACCAGAUGGACCUGCGUUGUUUUAGCUGGUGGGUGGGGUAACGGCCCACCACGGCGACGAAACAUAGCGGACUUGAGAGGGGAUCCGCCACCCUGGGAACGGGACACGGCCCAGACGUCCAAGGGGAGGAGCAGGAGGGGAACUUCGGCAAAGGGCGGAAGGCUGAACGGGGCACGCCGGGGGAGGGGAGAAGGGUUUCGGAUCGGAAAGAUCUGUUGUAAGGGAAGAAAGAGUGUGGGAGUGGAAAGUUCACAUUGUGACGGUAGCUUAUCAGAAAGGGACGGCUAACUACGUG